CCUACGGGGCGCUGCAGUCGAGAAUCAUUCACAAUGGGGGAAACCCUGAUGGUGCGACGCCGCGUGGGGGAAUGAAGGUCUUCGGAUUGUAAACCCCUGUCAUGUGGGAGCAAAUUAAAAAGAUAGUACCACAAGAGGAAGAGACGGCUAACUCUGUGCCAGCAGCCGCGGUAAUACAGAGGUCUCAAGCGUUGUUCGGAAUCACUGGGCGUAAAGUGUGCGUAGGCUGUUUCGUAAGUCGUGUGUGAAAGGCGCGGGCUCAACCCGCGGACGGCACAUGAUACUGCGAGACUAGAGUAAUGGAGGGGGAACCGGAAUUCUCGGUGUAGCAGUGAAAUGCGUAGAUAUCGAGAGGAACACUCGUGGCGAAGGCGGGUUCCUGGACAUUAACUGACGCUGAGGCACGAAGGCCAGGGGAGCGAAAGGGAUUAGAUACACCAGUAGUC
rnacentral:rRNA from 1 species